AAAGCGUCUGCCAGUUUUGUGUUGUUGGAACCAGGUUUUGCCAGGUUUCUCUGUUUUGUGGCAGAAAAUGGUAGAAUUUGGGUCUGGUCCAGUAAAGGAGACGAUCGACAAUACUGUAUUUAUCGUGCCCGGAAUCAUCAUCGCUGUUUUAGUAGUAUUCUUCUCAUACAAACUGAUAGCCAGUCUGCGGCAAAAGGAACGAGCUAAAGAAGACAAGAAGAAAUUAAAACAACAAAGGAAAGAAAAAGAACAACAGAAGAAACAGAAGAAGAAGUAGACUUAGGUGUGAUCAGCUCUUCAAAUAGCUUCAAACCACCGACAGAUUGUGACUGCAAGGAUAUAUAUAUUUAUAAGAAAUUCUCGACUCGGGUUUUACAGAUUUGCAAGACCAAAUCUGUGGUGAUGGUUGUGUAUGCAUCAGUGGACAGUGUUAUAGAAUAUGUUGAGGGCUUUACAUAACAGAGGGUCUGGGGUGUAGAAAUAUUUAUUGUAAUGAUCGUCACAAGUCAAACACUAUAACUGAUGAAAAGGGGUUCCUCCCAGAAGCAUAAGGCCCAAAACACACUGGGUCUGGGUCUGGCGAAUGUGGCACAGACGCCAUGUGUAUUUUUAUGUCUGGGUCUGGGUCUAGGUCUGGCGAAUGUGGCACAGACGCCAUGUGUAUUUUGACGUCUGGCGAAUGUGGCACAGACGCCAUGAUGUGUAUUUUGACAUCUGGGUGUGGCAAAUGUGGCACAGACACCAUGUGUAUUUUGAUGUCUGGGUCUGUAACUGUUAUCAAUGCAUAUUAAUGUGUUUAUAUCUUUAGAUAAAUUUACUUUAUAAACAUCAACAAUAAGUAUGAUAAAUCCACAUUGAUUAAUAUAUACCUUUCCUGUUGGUUAAUAAGAAAAAUGAAUGAGUACGGUUCGAACAUUGUGCAGCUGCCAGUAUGGCAGUAUGAAAAUAUAGCACAUGUUCUAUGACGUCUGGUGCCAGAUCUGUAGUUGACAUCAGCACAGACUCGGUGUGUUUUGUCACAUUCGUUUUGGACUGGCAGCAUACUCGCCAGACCUGGUGUGUUUUGGGCCUAAGACAGUGGGUUUUUUCAUGCAGUUUAGAAAACUGUACAGAAAAGUGCAUUGUAUUGGGAUCCAUUACACAUUGGUUAUAAUGAUACUCAACAGCAUAAGGGCCAGGAGGAGCAAAACCUCAAAUUCAGGCAAAAUUAUAGAGAUAUUCGGGCAAAAAUUAUAGAGAUAUUCGGGCAAACAUUAUAGAGAUAUUCGGGCAAAAAUGAUAUAGAUAUUCGGGCAAAAUGUGCUAACCUGAAACCUUUUCACCACGUAUUUGCAUCGUUCUACCCUCACAAUUAGUUGUAAUCCAUGUAAAAAUGUGUAGUGAAUUAUUUGCAACCCUAUAUAGCUGUUUGGUAGUAAUGCUAAUAUGAAUAAAUGUUGUUCAGAUUUGGGCGUUUGAUUUGGACAAAUGCCAUUCUGCUCCCCUACAACAACAAAAAAGGGCGCCCGUACGCCUAUGUGCUCAAUGGUUUGUUUGGUCUGCAUUUUUGUUUAAAUCAUUAAUGUUAAGAACAUGCAUGCCACAACAUCGGCACUUAAUUUUACAAUGGUAGAAACUAGAUUGUGUUUUAAACACCAUAUUUAAAGAAAACGUCAGAAUUACAUGUCUAUCUGCUGGCCCUUGAAUUCUGGAUGUUAUAAUUGAGUUGGUGUUAUAUUAAAGUAAUUGGCACAGCAAUAGUGAUUACUUGACGGGCUUUCUGCCAGAAAAUAACUUGAGGGUACAAUGUACGUAUAAAACGAAAACGGAUCCUAAGUCAAGUGCCCCUUGUACAUGUGUAGGUACAUUUGUAGUUUAGGGCUUGAAAUCUGAUAAAACUGGACACUUAAUUUCCUGUACUUUGACAAAUUUUAACCAGCAGUUCUCUUACUAUGAUCUUUCUAAAAAUCCAUUAAUUUCCUGGGUUUUAGGGUAUGUAAUUUUACCUUUCGUAGAAACCACGUUCAAAUUGAAUACAUCUCUACAAUACUAAUUACUCAGCAAAUCCUGGAAAGUUUUUUUACUUGUUUGGUGGUACAACUGUUUUUACAGUAUUGCCUACAGAUUUUCGAAGCUAUCUUGGUCCUACGAUAUGGUAAAAUUGUUGUAAGCUAUGACGUCACAACGUUGCAUGCCAUAGCCUACGAUGGUUUUACGAUAUCGUAGUGUUAAGAUAGCUUUGAAAAUCAGGGCCCUGAAUCAUACUAUAUCCAUUAACACUAUACUAUUAAAAUUUAAUCAUAAUAUACACAUUAACCCUACUAUUAAAAUUUAAUCAUAAUAUACACAUUAACACUACUAUUAAAAUUUAAUCAUAAUAUACACAUUAACACUACUAUUAAAAUUUAAUCAUAAUAUACACAUUAACCCUACUAUUAAAAUUUAAUCAUAAUAUACACAUUAACACUACUAUUAAAAUUUAAUCAUAAUAUACCCAUUAACACUACUAUUAAAAUUUUAUCAUAAUAUACCCAUUAAUACUACUAUUAAAAUUUAAUCAUAAUAUA
rnacentral:lncRNA from 1 species